UACGUAGGGCGCAAGCGUUGUCCGGAAUUAUUGGGCGUAAAGAGCUCGUAGGCGGUUUGUCGCGUCUGCUGUGAAAACCUGAGGCUCAACCUCGGGCUUGCAGUGGGUACGGGCAGACUAGAGUGCGGUAGGGGUGACUGGAAUUCCUGGUGUAGCGGUGAAAUGCGCAGAUAUCAGGAGGAACACCGAUGGCGAAGGCAGGUCUCUGGGCAUUAACUGACGCUGAGGAGCGAAAGCAUGGGGAGCGAACAGG
rnacentral:rRNA from 1 species